rnacentral:lncRNA from 1 species
UUUUUUCAUGUAGGAGUAUACGCCAGCAGAUCAAGUUGUUGCUGAACCCUGUUGGUUAAGCUAGAUCAAAGUCAAUGGCACCACCACACCAAGGCAGCCUUCAAGCUCGUUGCCUCGGCCCGUCGCCAGUAUCCAAGCUCCAGCAUUGUACAUGUCACGAUCGGAUCAUAAUUGUAACUGAUUCGUUCCGGCCUUAUCUUUGGUUCUGACGUUGGUCUAUGGCGUGCGUGCAGCCUUUGCUGACCUUUCAGUUCACUACAAAGAACGUUCAGAGAGUUUCGGUUAACCAAGCACAAGGAAAGAAACACGCUCCUCCGGGUCCUUGGAUUCUCACUUGCUCAACUUGACUGAUCGACCGUCCCGGUCGCUGUCGAAGAACAAGCCAGUCGAGAGUUGCCUGCCAUUUUCCUUGAUAAAAUUCACUCUCACAGAAGCGACAUUACAUACUAUAUUCUCGUGCUCGUCUACUUUUUCUGCGCAGUUCCUGACAAGUGACAAGGAGAGUGCGUGACUGAGGAUGUAGAAGUGUAUAUGUGGAACAAUUGCACGGGCAGUUGGCAUACAAAAGAAAAGGUCAGAUGAAUAAUGGACGCGAGAGUGUAACUUUCUUUGCUCCUACGAAAUCAGCAGGGUGGUUUCUGAUUGAGUUGAUGGCAAGACAUCCCACCUAGCUGGCCUUUAAACUCAGCUUAGUGGCAGCUUCCUGAAUGACCACCGGCUCACGAAAGGAACAGUCCAAUCCGAUUUAACGCGGGGGUGUUCGAGUCCCUCUUCGCCACCAAUUCAUCAGGGAGCUAGCUAGGGCGUCGUCUUUUUUCGUGUGGAUGGAAAGGCACCUAGCUAAGCUACCCCUUCGCUAGACUGUACCGCACGGCGAUCAAGCGAGCUGCGCCUACUGUGUGAGUGUGCACGCAAGUCAACAGGAGCAGCUCUCGAGCAACUCCAAUAGAUUGCAGAAGCUUCCACUGAUUGCAGUUUACCACGUUGACUAACCGCCACGGACGUUAGACAAGGCAAAGCUUCGCGUCUCUUCCCUGUGCAAACGACGCCCAUAAGGAAUGACGACGACCUGAAGUUCUGAAACUGAGAGACGAGGCGGCGGCGCUGCCGAGAUGAAGCACACCGGCCGGCGGCGGCCGGUGCACCACCACCAGCUACGGCAGGUCCACGUCCCAGAGAGAUCGCGGGCUGCAUCCGGGUUGGUCCCCAUGGCAGGGUCAGGGAGCAGGGACAGGGAGGGAGGGCUCCGCUCGCGGUCACGGGCCGUUGGAAAGAGACGGUCAGGAAGAAGGGGGUCCGUGUGUGUGUGCGAGGGAAAGCGACCCGUGCGAGGGAAAGCGUGGUGGACUGGAUGGACGUAUUCCUGCCACUCCCCUCCGUGGCGUCCAUUCUACUCCGGACAGCUUGUCUGAACGGUCCACCCGGUGGGCCCCACGGCCCGAGGAACGGUCUCCGUCUCUUUCCCUCCGUUUUCCUUGGCGCUCCCCCAUCUCACUUUCCUUGGCAUUAUUGUGCAGCAGCUAUAUCACACAUUACAUUACUGGUGUAUCAGAAAUUCAGAGCUCUGCAUCUCAAGAAAAAGAAAAGAAAUUUUAGGAAAAAAAAGGGGGGAACUGAGAGCUACAGCACACGGAGUAGUAUGUGAGAGUGAGAUUGCAGCCAUAGCCCAUGAGUGAUGAGUCCACACCGCGCCGGGCGACUGGUCCAGUAAAGCGUGCCAGGUGGUUGGAGUGGUGGGCAUGGGUCGCGAGCCGCCGGCGCACCACACCUCCCAAGGCGAGAUUGGUCAACUGGACCGUCCAACCACUGUUGGCCGAUGCUGCUAGGUGGAAAUGCGAUUUCCGGCCGGAAAUUAAUGCCUUGUUGACUGACUAAUUCUCUCUCUCCAAAACAAUUCAGUGUUAACUGAAACAUGAGCAAAGAUUUUACAGAUCGCCUUCCUUUGUCUUUUCCAGCUUUCUUCUGAUCUUUAGGACUCCAAAAAUUACAGUUUGUACGUAUUCAGAAUCUUCGUCCCUGUCAGACUGCUAGAUCAGGAUACAUCUAAAAACCGCAAGAAUUCGAUGGAAUUCGCACCAGAAUUGGCCUUAGCUCUACUAUACUUUAACAAGUAAAGCGAGAUCAGGCAAGCGUCGUUUCUCCCCUGGCAAAAAAGAAGGAUCUUUUUGACAGUAACUGAAGGAGAUGGAGAGCGUCAAUGGCGGAAGAACGGCGAGCAUUAGGCACGAGUAGAAACAGCAGAGCACCACGACGAGAAAGAAGCUCAAAGAGUGUGAUUUUAUCUUUCCGUUUCUUCGUGAUCGCUCAGGACUAUGAGCAAAAAUUACAUCACGCAAGGAAGGGGGAGUUAAAAACAACAAGCAUCUCACGCGGUACUAAGAAUUCUCCGGCGUCGCGGCGCGCGGGGGCCUCGCCCGAUCACUGCGACGACGGCGCCGCGGCGGCGGCGGCGGGUGAGGGCGCCAUCCUGGGGGACGUGACGGGGAACAGCGGGAGCAGCCGCGGCGGCUCGGCGCCCCUCGGGGACGGGUGCAAGAAGAAGCCUUUCCGCGCGAUGGCCGCGCGCUCGGCGGCCUCCUCCUCCUCGCCCGGGGACGCGGAUGCCGGCGACCGGUUGAAGGGGUCCGCCACCAGCGGCGUGACGGGGCUCCCGAGCGCCAGGGACGGGAAGUCGAGCACGCUGGGCGACAGCACCUCGGGGCCGACCUUCCGCGGCGACGCCCCCGCGGCCGCGGCCGCCGCCAUCGCCAGCGGCGCGAUCAUCUUGAGGUUGUUCUUGCCGAUCCGGCGCUCGUAGAGCUUGAAGGCCGGCUUCUUGGGUCCUCCGGCGAGGCCGCUAGCGCCGCCGUGGUUGUGGUGGUGGUGGUGGUGGUGGUGGUGGUGGCCCUUGGCGGGCUUAUUCUGUGCUGACGACGGCGUGUCGGAGCCGGUGAGCCUCUGCACGACCUGCUUGAAGUUGGCGGUGUCGGCCUGGACGAACGUGGUGGGGAACGGCGUGGUGUCGAUGAUGCGCGGCACGGGCUUGGGCGACGGGGGCACGGGGUGGUGCUGCUGCUGGCGCGGCGACGGGGAGGCGGCGGAGGAGGGGGAGGAGGAGGAGGUGGACGAGGACGGGGAGUUGGGGGCACGCGCCAUGGGGAGGAGUUGCUUCGCCGCAGCAACUUCCAUUUGCGGACGGGGACUGGGGAGGAAGGGGUCUGGGGAGGCGAGACCGCGAGAGGGGAGUGGGAAUAAGAAGAGGAGGGGGAGUUAGAGGUGAUGUAUAGUUGGCGUGGGCCUGGGUGGACGCUGCUCUGCUCUCUUUCUCUCUCUAGGAUGCAGGCCCUCCUCUUCCCUCUCUCUCAUCACGGAUUUUAUUUGUUUUCCUGCUGGUUUCCAGUUUCAGUUUCUCUCCCAUGACCCGGUGCCCUUUUUAUGCACUACCGAGUUUUUUUUUGCGAGUAGCUUCUUUUGUGCACUAUUCUAUGUGCAGUUUCCUCUGUUUUUCUGGGUGCCGAUGGUAGUUUCGCAGUUUCUCUCUCUAGGUACAGUUUUCCAGUUGACAGGGUGCAGGUACAGCCUCCUAUACUCUACCGUUAUUGCUCCUGCUUUUCGGUAGAGAGAAAUAGUACCCUUUUUUUUUGGCACUGAUCUAUCUUUUCCAGGGAAACUUUCAAAACAAUGACUGGAAACAAAAGCGACCGUGCCAAAUUUAAUUAACUUCUUGAAAUUGAGAGGGGGGGAAAAACCCGCAAGCUUGUUCCGUCACGAGGACAAGGUUGGAAACAGUGGUGUCCACGGAAAGAUGCCUUUGCCGAGAAAAGCAAAGAAAAUGCGGCAGGCAUUGACUUGGACAACCUAGCCUUGACCCCGUGCAGCCGCUGUCCCAUCGCUGCCGGUGGGCCGCAGAUGCUUCCUCCCCUGCCGCGUCGCCGUCGCGUCGGCGUCGCCGGUCGCCGCCCUCGUACUUGUCCCCUCGCUGGCCUCUGCCGUAGCCCUGCUGCGCCACCACUGAGGCACUGACCACCGCCGUCGGAGUCCGGCGCCGAGGCGAUUCGUUUUACCGCUGCCCUGCGCCGCCUGCCGUUACCAGGCGCAGUAAAAAGAAGAAGAAGAAGAAAAUCUGGAAACGCACCAGUCAGAGUCAAAAGAACUCGCAGCACUAGCGCUUUUGUAGACAACUAGCCGUAGGUGCAUGAACGGAGAAGGUUCGCAAGUGGGAGCGGUGGGAAAGGCGUGGUGGUGCGCUGGGGCUUUUUCCGCGGCAUCGUCACGGGACUUUGCUGAAGGCAGGCGGGUGUUUGCCGGCCGCUCAGCCGCUGUCCUCCGCGCGAGUCAAUGCCUUUCCAGUUGAUACUGGUUGGUAAAAACUUGAAUUGCGCCUCUCCUCUUUGACCUGUCGUCCCAUCCAAGUGCUCGUAACACUAACUAGCCUCCUGUGGUCUCAAAAGGGAGGUCUCUCAAGGACUCAAGGUGAAAAUCCAUUUGUAUAAACAAACUUCCAGGAUUCACAGCUUCAUACGGCACUCCAACCUCGAUCAAACAGUACCGAAUUUAUCCAGGUGGAACCAUCAGGUGAAUUAAUUCACGGUACAUUUUACUGCACCGUAGUGGCAAUCACAGGGUUAGAUCGACGAGGACUGCCCAAGGAUUAUAGUUUUGAGAUCAAGAUCUACUAAGGAUUUUUAAGAGGUACGAUCUCUCGCCCCCGCGUCGCUCGAGCCGAGCGACUCGGGCGGCCUUCGCGCCUCCCUGCCGCCAGGCCACCUUGCUCCUCCCCCCUCCGUCGCUGGAGCCGUGAGCCAAAAGCCCGACGAGCGGCGAGUAGGGCGGCGGCGGGGUCAGCUCGGUCCCCUCCAUCUUCUCCCCCAACCCUAGAUCUGCCCCGCCGUCACUGUCGACUCUGUCGCCAGCCGUGUGGGCGUGCCCCCCGAUCGUGCGGUCGCCUGGGCGCCUGCCUCCCCGACCUCCUCGGUCGCCUGGUCGCGCGGGCCUACCCGGCACCGCCACCGCCAUGCGGUGGCGCGGGAAGGACGCGGGUGGGGUCGUUCGCUGCCGGCGGUGUGUGGUGGUCAGGCGCUGUACGCCUCUCCGUUCUCCCUCUCCCACUGCACCCCACCGGUCGCUUGGUCACCCUUGCCACCGUCAUUGCCGCCGGUCGCCACCAAUGUACGUCACUGCCGGGUCCGGCGUCGCUGGAUCCACCCCUGCCAGCGGGGAUCCACCCCCAACGGCGUGAAUAUGCCCCCUCCCCCUCCCCCGAGGUGACUCUCCCUGUCACUGGCGUUCGCCGGUGGCCCUUGGGGCUGCUACUGGCGCCAAUGAGGGGCCGUGGAGGUCGUCUCGCUGGGUUGCCGAGAUGUUGGGGCGACUCAAGAGACGUCGUUGCCACUGCUGGUCGUCAUCAUCGAGCAUUGAGCCUCUGGAGCCAUUAUCGUCGCCGCCGCCGCUGCUUGCUGCGCUGCCCGUGUAGGCGCUGGGUGCCCUUGAGCCCCUUGUUCCACCCUCUAUCCUUGGUUGCGUAGGUGCCCAUUGCUGGGCCCCUAGUCGUCGGGCCGUCGUCCCCCUGUGAUCGCUCUGGUGGUGGGAGUUCUAGGGCCCGUGCUACCGCUCGUAUCUACUGGCGUCCCUCUCCGGGUGAUGCUACACUAGCUUGGUCAUAGCUAUUUUGGUUGUCGGGCGGCAGUGGCGUGCUCCUUCACUGCUCGCUGGCGCGUCUUUGGAUCGAUAUUGGAUCAUCACGGUCGCCUCUUGGUCACCCAUGGUCGUUUGGGCCUUCCCUCUUCUCAAAGGUGCCUGCAGAUAUUCCUUAUCGUCGUUGCCUUGGAUCACUCGCUGCCAUCUCAUCUCUUUGCCUCUCACACGGGCCUCGGCGAUCUGCUGCGUGGAGAUGGUUUUGGAGGCCUUUGGCGAAAGCUUUGCCUGACAUUUGCCGGUGCCGACAACGGUUGUGUCCUUUAACGUAGCUUAACACAUUGGAGGUGUUGUUGCGGCCACCAAAUCCAUUUGGUUUCGUCAGGUGAAGACUUGGAAUACUCCUCCAUGGACAGUCGGACGAUGGCGGAGUUGGCGUCGCUUCCUCCUUGGAGGCAGCGUCUUGCACGAUCUUCUCGCUCUGCCUCCGCUAGCUCCAGGUUAUUAGUCAAUCGAUGAUGUGCGUGUAUUUUUAGUACCCUUCUCUCCUGCAGGUAUCGGUCGUCUCAGGUCGUGUUUAGUAUGGUGGUGCUGUGGAUUUCUUUUCUUUUCUAUUGUAUUUGUGUUGCCUGUCGUGGGUGGUGGUUCGUAUAACUCUAUACUCUCCUGAAGUAGUAUUGUUGUAAUUAUCUUCGUAUUAAUGAAAAACGUGCAUAUGAAAAGAUCGACGAGGACUGUGUAGUAGUAACUCCAGUUCAGAGCCGGUCAGUCACGCUCUGUCCGCUCACUCCCGUCUCCGGAUGGAGGAUCCUAUUCCUAGCGUGUCCGAUGCCGAAGCUGGUAACGGUCGUAUUGAUGGCCUUCCCAGUACAGUACACCCCUUCCCGAAUUAAGUUGGAUCUUAAUUUCUGUAUUAGUGCGCUAGCGAGGACGGCCCCGUACCAUGCUCCGUAACAACAGCAUAAAUACGGAGUAGAGUACGUGGUAUAGGCGUAAUAGCUAGAGUGCUAGACAACGUUCGAGCUGUGACGGUGACACUGUUCACGCUGAAUCCAUGUCCAGGUUUCCUCCCUGACUGAUAUGAAAAUCGAUUUGCUGCUGCAUAUGAGUAUAUAAAAACUCCUGCUACGUUCCACGACCAGCACAGAAUCUUGACGCAUAGAAUCAUCAGGCAAAAAUACUGAGCAAAUCUUGACGCAUCCACGACCAGCACAGAAAAAGGAGACGCGUCACCCUGUGGAGAGAGAAAACACACACACACACAGAACGGUGAUGCUAUGCUUGGAAUUCUCUGUGCACGAUGGAAAGAUGAUCCCGGGAAAGCGGGCAUCCUGUUCCAGCUUCAGCGGUCACGAGAGCACGCAGGCGAGCAGAACGGGCGCCUCCUCGGCCGGUUGCCGGCCGGUUCGACGCACCUGGACGGCACCCACCUCCGGUCCGGUCCAUGGCGCGCGAAAAAGGGCGGGCGCACGCCAAUUGCGUGCGGCCCAAAAGAAGGAAAGAAAGGAGGGGGGACGAGAAUGAUGCUGCUGGCCACGACCGGGGGAUAAACAAAAACAUUUUCUUGGCGCGUCCGGUUGGGAGGCACGGCCGGCGUGUGGUCGCGUCGGCUCCAGCGGCCGCUCGUCCAGUCGGACGGGUCAAUGUUCGCCUACGCGGCUUUGAUCGUGCCGGUCAACCUUUUUUGUUUUUGUUUUCUUCCUUCUCGCAGUUGCGAAUGAAAUUCCAUGGAACGCACGGAGAUCUAACCCGCCGAUCAUGCGGGCAGCGUGAUUUUGGUUUCGCCGGAAUCCGCGAGCGCUUGCUUUCGUCGCCGCCGGGUCUCGCACGCUCGGCCGUGGACGGAGCAGAAGGGGAGGCGCGUGCCCGAGCGUUAAGAAAUCAGCAGAGCCGGGACCGAGCCGCGCCCGGACGCCGUGCCGUGCGUCCGCGUCGCGUCCUGCACCGGGUCCGGGGGGUGCCGUGGGCGGACGGCUUCGUGCGGCCACAUCACGGGGCACCCAGCGGGGGCAGCGGCCCGGGGGUGACGCGCGCUCGCGCCCUCCCUGUGGCAAGGUGCGCGGGAGAGAUCUCGCCGAAUCCCGGGCGGGGCCCCGGCGGGUUCCGCCCGUUCCAGCAAUCCAGCGUGCGGUCGCCACUCGCCACCGGACCGGGAGGGCCUCUCCCUCGCUUUCGCGGGGCUAAUCAUUGCCGCGGCGAGGGCCGGGACGGGAAAUGCAGACGAGACGAGCCCCCGGGGUCAAAACGCUGCGGUCUCGCACCGCGUGGGUGCGUGUCGCUGCCGCCUGCCCUGCCCGCUUGCCUUCCUUUGGUGAGUGCGGCUCGCGUACGAGCCGUGGACCUGUGGUGGCUGCGAGCCCAGACGUUGCCCAUCGCUGGAUCCACGUCCACUCGCUCCGGUCCUCGGUUCGUGGUCACGGUGCGUGGUCGGUCCGGGAGGGUUUCUUCAGACAACGAAGACAGGGGGGCCUCGUCUCAUCUCAUGCACUAGAACUUGAACUUCUAGCACCGGUGUCCUACCGGCGCUGCUAUUUCGGGUUACUUCCACUAACAGUCUCGAGGUCAAACGUGCAACAUCAUGGUCAUGGCCUCUUUCACCAAAUUUGGCUCCUGCACAUCAGCAAUUCCUGAGUGGCGGGCCCCACCCCAGCUACGUUUCUCCAAGCAGCUACAACUUCCAGAAGCUGUGGUAAUUAAAGUUGCAGGCAGGAAUUACCAAAUUGGACUGAGAGCCUCUCUUUGGCCGGAAAGAACGCGAUUUCGCAACCAAAAAUCCAACUAUCCCCACAUCCAACCUUGACCAUAACGCUGUGCUAGCUCCUGUAUUAUUCGGACCACUCCUGCUGUCCAUAGAUUAGCUCACUCCCCGUGUCGGUUAGAUAGAUAGCUAGCCUACCUGCCCGGUUUCUGUCAGCUCCCAGUAGCUGGGGUGCUAGCUCCCAAUCCCAGCCGGCCACCCCACGUCCCGGUCGCGCUUGCUGCGGACUGUAUCUGCCGUGAUCCCUCACUCUCUCGGGUCUCGUCGAUCGACGCGUUCCUCUCAUGCAGCAGCAGCCCGUGCGUCACGCUCGCAGCCAUGGAUCUGUAAUGUUGACUCGCUCGGAUUCGUUCCCAUUCUCGGGGUGGACCACGAGCAGAUGCGCGAGCUUUCGGUGAUGGUUACGGGUAGUCCGCGGCGGAGGCAUCCAGCGGCCAGCGCCGGGUUCGAUCGUCUCCUAGCUAGCUGCGCGCCUGCGCCCCACCCUGAUCUCGCGCGCUCGCCCGACCGCUGCUGCUCACGGACCGUGACCUCACUGCCCCUCUCUCGUCGUCCCAUCGGACAUAGAAUGGAUUUGAGGAAAAGAAUCCGAUGCCCCGCCGGCCGGGCGAUCCUACGUGGUAAGGGACGGGACGGGAGUACUUAAAAGCUAAGCGACGUGCCACAUGAGAUGCUCGUUGCUCGUCCGGUCCAUGGGCAGAAGCUGAUGUAGUAAUUGCGCAGCGAUCGAACGUGUCCGUCGUCUCAGGCUCGACUCCUUGAAGAAACCUCUCCGAUCCGGACAUUGAUGGCCGCACGCCGGUACACGUGAGGGCUGCCUGCACGACCGGCGUUAAGGACGCAGCGAUCCAGUGCCGAGGAAGACGGGUUUUCUUGUCAUUGGGAUGCCGUGUUUUCGCGUUGAAAAAUUGACUGGGUCUUGUGAGAAUCCCAUGGCUUGUGAGAUACUGGGGGCUUGCGGAAUAGGACUCGGCACCAUCAGUUGACAAGACAACAGUAGGCGGCCACCGAGAAAGAAAGCAUCGUUUCACAACUUGGGACCAGGAAAAGGUUUUACGUUACUGGCUGCAUAAUAGGCACCGAUCACCUGAACACAGGCGUUCCACGAUCAAACCGCCCGACUAUACCAGCAGCGUGGAUCGCAUUUGUAGGCCUUAAUCCAAACAGUCUAUUACAUGAAGUUCACUAGCAAAAGAGUGUUGCUGCCAGGAAUUUCUGUCUGCACUUCGCUCAAAUGACAGGGUUACGCUGCUAAUCGUUCAGCGGAAGACGACGUCGUAGCUAACAUAGCUUACGCUGCAAGUGAAAAUCGAUGCAAAUAAAAGGGGCAAGUGAAAAAGCACGACAAAGAAAGGGUAACAUCCUGCUACUCAAGAACAACUAUAUCAAGAAGACAGGUUAGGGCCGGGACACUGACGUAACCGGAAAUGAGUUUGCAUGAAAAAGUACAACCAGCUUGUUCUAUCAGGGGAGUCAAACAAGUACAAACCCAUGGCUGCAACACCGAAACAGAGCAAAUUCUUCCAGUUCACAUUACACAAGGUCUGGUACUACGUCCCAUCUUACAAGAGCAUCAACAGCGAUGAAAACAGCACAUCUCCAUCCUAUCAUAGCAGCACCCUGCUGUUGUUACGGUCUUACCGAGCUCUUUUUCUUUUUGUAACUGAACCCUUACUGCAAUGACAAAUCAGUACAAAUAAAUCUCAACGGAUAACGAAUUCCUAGAGAGAGCCCCAGGAAUCAGAGGAAGCUCCCCGACGGCUAAGAACAGGAACCAAUAGCCCCCGAAAAAACUGAAUGCUGAGCUUGUUAGUUGACUGGUAUGAUCUGAUGAGAGCUAGCUGACAUGCAAUGGUCUAUCUAUUGUUUUUUAGGAUGGCUGCAAAUGUAGAGUCAUACAAGGGCAAAGACCCAUAGCGCUGCAGCGAAAUCACGCCGACUUGAACAUUUCAGGAGCAGUCCAAAUUUUGGCUCAUGUCUUGGCUAUAAAUUUCAUCUGCCCUUUUUCUUCUUCAUCAUCUCCCGCUGUAUCGCCUUUUGCCUUGCCUUGUCUGCAAGGUCCAGCCCCGGAACCUGGUCCUCAGCAGAGUCAACUUUUGACCCUCUCACGUCACUUGCGGAGGCAUUCUUGCGACGAUUCUUUCUUGAUCCAACUUUUGGAGAGCCCACUUUUCUAGAGAUGGUAGCAUCCUUGUUUCCGCAUGCAUUAGGUUUUUCCAUCUCCAUCCCCUCAGGUUCGUUAAGUUGCUUACUAGUGGCCACUGGACUAUUUGUAUUUUCAGGGCUAUGAUUAUCUGGACAGAUGCCUUUCAUCGAAGAAGCUGCCCUUGUGAAAUGACGCCUACUUUCAAACCAUUUGCUAACCUGUCACCAGAAUGCAGAGUGAGGGUUAGACCCAAUGAACAAGAUAACCAUGACAAGGCAUGCAAUUAGAAAAUCAUGGCAACAUGGACAUAACCUGACGGAAUGUUAGCCCUAGUUCUUCUGCCAGGUUUUCUUUAACAGAACGGCUAGGGUAUGGUUCUGUCUUAAAAUGUUCAUGUAGCUUCUGCAAGCAGAAUGAUGUGCAUCAACUUAGUCGAUGAAGUAAAGCAGUCUAAAAUGGCUAUUUCUGUUCAACUGAAUCGAGAACAAAUUUCACUGUACCUGAUUAAUUACUGGACCAAAAUGUCCUUUCUUAGAUGUACUAUUGCUGCCAUUAGAAGUAAGAUCUUCAUGUUUCUCAUCAACCGAACCAUGAAGAGAAUCAGGAUGCAAGCUUUUUUGAGCGCUCUGUGGAGUCAGUUCAUCACUAUGGUGUACAAUCCUUGUACUUCUAGAGCUUUUUCCUGCAGGAGAAUCAGCUUCACUCUCUUCAUGGCCUUUUCUUGGUGUACUCUUCCCAGACCAUUCUUCAUCAUCGCUAGAAUUAGAUGGUGCUUCACCAUAAGCCUCCUUUUGAGUCCAAGAAUAGGAACAUGUCAUGGUCAGAAAGCAUAGGUCAUAUGCAAGUGUGCACCCAAGAGAGCAUAUACUAGCAAACAAUUAAUAAUCCCAUGCUACAUUACCAUAGUACAUACUGUUGAGUUCCUCAAAGGUUACUGUCUCUAGUUGCACAAAUCAGCAUCAAGAUUGAAUGCAGCGGCACAUAAGUGUAAACUACAAGCACUAUGGAAAUACCUAAAUUCAAGACACAGCAGAUCUUUUACCAUUUCACCAAUUACUAGAUUAUGCACAUAUGUCUAAGCUAAGGGCAGUACAUAGGUCUAAGCUAAGAUCACUUCUAUUCCCUCCGUUCCAAAUUAUAGGUCGUUUCGGGUUUUCUGGAUACAUAGUUUUUAUUAUGUAUCUAGUUCUAGACAUAGCGUAUAUAUAGGUGCAUAGCAAAAGCUAUAUACCUAGAAAAGUCAAAAACAAUUAUAACUUGGGACAGAGGGAAUAAUAAUGAUGUUUGCCUCCAUGACUAAUUUUAUAAUCAAACUUUCGAAUUUGGCUAGUUCCUGCUUGAAACUAAAGCAUUCGUCUGGAUGAAAGCAAACACACAAUUGGCAUUAUUCAAGGCUAAAAACAUAUUUAAAAAAAUCAUGCACUUAAGUAGGUUGGGGGCAUACAUCAUACAGUUUUUUGUAGUCCAACCGUUCAGUCUGCCGUCUCCCUGAAACUGGUAAAACCACACUCUGGUCCAUUUCAGUCUCCAUAUGGUCAUCAUUGGAAUUUGCUGUGUUAGCCUGAGAAGUGCUUUUUUCCAUAUCAUCCACCUUACCAUCGGGUAAUGGAGGAGAUGAAACUUCAUCAUGUCCACCAGUUUUUGCAAUCUCCUCACAGAAAUCAUCAGAGUCAGAUGUAAAAUCUGACUCAUCUGAAUUUGAUUCCUUUUUCUGGAUAUCUUUAUCAGAAUCCGGACCUGCUGGAUCAUAGUCAUCAUCCUCUGAGUCUUCAGAAGGUAAUCCCAGGUCAUCGACCUUCUUUUUGGCCGUCAAAGGUUCCGAAUCAUCAGAAUCAGAAGAGGUCAAAAAGUUUGAGUCGUCAGAGUCUGAUCCUCCAUCCUCAUCCUCUUCCUCUUCAGAUGAUCCUUCUUCCUUACUAGCCACAUGCUCUUCGGGCAUAUUGGGUUCAAAGUCAUUGUCAUCUGAAUCAUCUGAUGGAAGAUCAAAUGCGUCAUCUUGGUUAGAGCCAUUUGCCAUAGUAGCUGCCUCUGGAAAAACUUUCUGCAAAAAUAAAUGUAGUACUGAGAUCAAGGGUAAUUCAAACUCACUGGAGGUCAAGGCAGUAAAUUGUUACUAUUCUUAUAAGGGAUACGUUACCUCCCAAGAGUCGUCAAUGGAGAGAUCACUCCCCUGGAGGUCAUUUAUUACAUCUAUACAGUCUAUCUUGCAAUCACACGCAGGGCAGAGCCAUCCUUCAUCUCCCUCAGGAACUACAAAGGAAUGGUGCUCAUGAAUGAAUGCAGAAACAAGACUUACUUAGAUACUAUGAAAGAUAGGAAAAUGGAUAUUACUAUCUUCAGUACGCAGAGGAGGAUUUAAACAGUUCUGGUGGAACCCUCUGUCACAAGCUCCAUCACAGAGAAUGAUAUCAUUACCCAAUGUAACAUCCUUUGAACCACAAUUGGCACAAAAAAUCUGCGAUAUAGGAAACAUUUUCACUGAUUAAAAUGCUGUGCAUGACAUAAUUACAAGAGAAUAUAGACACAUUGAUGGAAUCAAAAUAACAUUCUGCGUACAUCUUCACAAGAUAUCUCUCCUUCAGAAUCAAAUAAAGACUCAUCAAUCUUCCCCUUCGAGAGGAGAGAAUCAAGAUUCUGGAAGACUUCCCGUAUUCUCAACUUGCAUCGCAGGAUUUCCGCCUUUGCUCGUUCAAGCUCCUUCUCAGGUCUUAUCUUAUCCAAACUGCAUUCUUGUACAUGAGCGACAGUUAUUUUAUAUUGUAACUGAAACUGCAAUGAACUCAAGCUAAAGAAAAAUCAUAGCAGUAGAAAUAUCCCAAGAUGGUUUCUGUUAUAUGCAAAGUUCAACGGAGAAUGAAUAACAACUACUAUACAUCUGAUCAACAACUAAGCCAAAUAGGCCACAUAAAUUUAAGGGCCUGUUUGUUUGAGCUUCCUGACAGCUUCUCAGCAUGAAAAGCCAGAAGCUCAGACAAACAGGGAACCAAGCACACAUCAUGGUUGGCAGUGAGAAGAGGCAGAAAUGAUAACUAUAUAUAAAGGGAACACAAACAGUGAAGGCAGAUAUCAUAAGGGUGAAAGCAUAAAGUUUCACUGAUGUGUUUCAUGUGCAAAUGCGAUAAAAAAACCCCAUCCUUUAUUAAGACAAAGAAGCACAUGGAAAGGAAAAUCAGGUGCAAAAUGAUGGGCAGCUAAGGAAUGUUAUGCACCUGACAAGCGUAUUUUGCAAAUUAAAAUGUCAAGAUAGUGAAACCUAUUUGUCAAUUCUGUUGCAUGUAACAUUAUUGUGGUUGGUUAACAAGUAAAUUUUAAGAUUUUGGCUAGCAAAUAUUACACAGCCAAAACAAUAUUCAAUACCGCUGGUGAAAAAUUGAUAAUUCGUACAAACACCUUUGAAACAUUAAAAACAAUGCAUAACAUGCAAGCAACUCAAAUUCAAAACAGCAAUUUAGUGUGACAAACCUUUGAUUUUUCCAGCCUUCACUAGCAUAAGCUUCAAUCAGGCUUUGCUCAUAGUUCAUUCGAUUCAAAAUGUAUCUAACCCGUUUACGAAUUUGAGAAAACUCGUCUGUUGAACUUUUGUUUGAGGAUAAACUUUUGUUUGAGGGUCUGCCCCUUUUUCUUCUUUUGGCAGCCGGUUGUACUGGAGUCUGUACAUGUUCAGUAGAUGUUGUCUUUGAACUUGAUGUGCCGUGAAGCACCCUGACAUUAUUAUCAGAUGACCUCAAAGUAUAGGCUUUAUCUGUUAGUCCUUGGGAGCCUUUUUUACCUCUGUUUGCUGCCCUUUUAUAGUUUUUCCUUAUCCCCAUGUUGUUCUGCACUGUUUUAGAUGGAGACAGCAAAACUUGAUGCUCAACAGUCUCAGGUAUUUGACUGGAGCUCACACCAUUUUCAACCUCACCAUUGCCCUCAAUAGGACAAGGGGUAUUUUUGUCCAUAGUAUGGUCACCAAAAUUUCAUCAAUUUACAGUAGACAAAGAAAGCAGCCUCAGAAAACCGUCUUCCUGAGGACAACAAUGAAACAAGAAGCUCUAUAUAGCUGCACCAGAUUCACAAGCACCUGGCAACCUACAGGAAAUAAAUUAAGAUAAAGAAUGAAUACAUGAACUCAAGAGUCAAGUAUCCUAUUAAAGCACAAAGUCUUACAAACCCCUGGUUUGAACAAGGUUUGAUUUGUUCCCAAUGAUUCGAAAUUAGACUCAGUUGAUGACCUUUUUAGUUGAAGAUAAACAAGCACAGACAUCACUAUUAAGUGAUUAGCCGCUACAAACAACCCACAGAGAAUGCACUCAGCUGUCGUCAAAGUGAUACAUGUCCCUCCCAUUACCAAUCAUGCAUCGAGCCUUUAACAGAGACACACAUUUCUUCCCAUCAAAACUGAAAGCGGCACCAUUUUUCCUUUUGCUACGUACACGCUUUGAUUCCUCUUGCCACCCAAUUAUGCUGUACUGUAUAUAGAAACAUUUUACUAGAUAUUUAAAGCAUUCGACUAGUACAAGAUUAUAAACUCCCCUCAUUCUUUUUUGUUUGUUAUUUUAGACUUAUCAUGGGCAUUAAGAAAAGGCAACAAACCACCACUAAAGCUAUACUCUUUUAAUUAGUCUCUCAAGUACGCAUAGUGGCCAGUGGACAAAGGAAACAUGCAUUAAAAAAAGGAACUACGUCUUCAAAACUACAGGAAACACUAAAAGAAAUGUUUCCUGGAAUCCUAUAACAACAAAACAAAAAAGAACACUCUUCACAAACUUAAAUGACAAACAAAAAAGAUUUCAGCUGGUGGUUUCUUAUUAGAAACAAGAACAACUUAGGAUAUAAUAAAUAGGAAUUCCAUAAAAAAGUUGGGUUUCAAACAAAGAUCUUAAUUAAAAAAAUUUACUAGAACUUACUUAUAGAGGAAAAAAAUCAAGCAAGCGACAAUUAACAAACUGCGUGUUUUAUUCAGAUAUUUCCAAAAGAAUAAUGCAUUGACAACUUCUAUAUUGUAAAAUCUAAAUGGGGAAUGGAAAUAAAAGGCAAGAAGAAAAACAAGGUGAGAUCAAGAUAAUGCCACAUCUCGCUCGACGACAACACAGGAAAAGAUGUCUUGAAGCCUCAGUGACCUAGGCCAAGCAACAGGCAGCUCACAGCCAGUCUCCUGCUUCCACGUGUCGCGGGCCAUGCACGUCUUCCAAGCUCUCGCUCUAACCGUGCCAUGCAAUGCUGGGUGCCCGCAAUUUUUAUUGCCAUAGGGUGACUUUGGCAUAGCAUUUUCAGGGUGCAUCUAAUAUGAAAUGAAAAAAAAAACAGAGCUACUGUAUGUCCAUCCUGCACAGCAUUUUGAUCUCCUAUGAAAUACUGAGUUAUCUUCAACAUGGCAAGUUUAGUAACAAUUUGGACAUGUCAUUAUAUCAGUAUUCCACAGUGGUGCUUGAUUUAUUUCCUACAGCCAUGGUAGGCACUUGUUCCAAAUGGCAGGCAAUUUCACAACCAAGCAACUGGUUCCAAAUCUACCUGCAUUGUUUAGCUCCUAUACAUUCCCAGGAUGCGGAACCAGUAGCCAUCUACUUCCACAGCGUGCAGAGCCAUCCACGAUAACCCCUGAAUCCACACAAUUCAAGCUGGAACCUCAUACCCUCCCCCCC